CCCUGGUGGAAGCAGGCUGCUGGGGCUGCUGCAUUUGAGAAACGUCGGCCUAGGCUAACCCGCAAAGCUCCGCACACAGCGUAGAAGGCAGGUUGCACGGAGGCUACACAGCCCUUCCCAACCUGCUAACGCCGCUUCACUGGCGCCAGGAGCCCCAGUGUGGUGCACGUGGACAGGAGGAGUGUUACGUGAUCCUGUACCUGUGACCUGGAGCUGCCCUUGACCAACCAGUCAUCGAGGCAGGGAAAGAUCUGGAACCCCAACGCCUGAGGGCCUUGCCGUCGAAUGGAAGGUCCUGCAAGGAGUUCUGUGCCUCGCUGGACAAUCCAGACAGCAGGAGCCAUGACGCUCUCCUCAUGGACACCACGGAGACCGUGGACCUUGCAGCCAUAUCUGCAGCAUCUUAGCUGCCUGAAGGGCUGCCCUGAUGGCAACCGUGCCCUCCUCAACCAGAGCCUUAAACUCCUUAUCACGCUCCUGGAGGGAGUCUGCAAAUUUGGGCAUUGAGCCCCACAAAUUAAAGUUGUAUCUGCCCAGCAGUUUUGGUGGUUUGCCACCCUCAGUUGGAAGCUUGAGGACGAAUAAAUCUUUCU